rnacentral:lncRNA from 1 species
UCCCAGACCCCUCUCAGGCCAGGCAAAGACAACGAACGAGGUAGCAGACGGAGGACUGAGUGGUGUGCCCCCAGCCAGGCAAAAACCAGAGAUGCGCUGAGCACCACCGCCGGAACAGCGGCUGCGGAUCCCGGCACGGUCCAGGCACUCAGACCGGGAGCGAGGCAGCAACACCCACAAGCACAGAGCAAGUCGGGGCGCCCAGCGCGAGUGACGGGGGACAGGCAUCCAGCCAGGCUCCGGUUGAAGAACUCAAUUUCUCUCCAUGUUAACAUCACUGGAGAAACAUUACCAGAGGAGGACAAAAGGGUAAGUGUUGGCUAUCUGCUCAAUGCUAGACCUUAUACACGAGUCUCUUUACAAAUAAUGAGUCAUAACAUCUCAGGAUAUCCCUUUAAGUUGAGUAUUUUUAUUGCCUUUUGACAGACGACGACUGAGACUAAGAGAAAGGAAACAACUUUUCAAAGCAACACAGUCACAGCAGGAUUGCUCAUUGAUCCAAUGAACAAUUUGGGCUUAAC